GGAAGUAAAGAGGAGACGUUACCGGAACUGGCAGCAGAGGAGGAUAUAGGAGGAGAACUCUGUAUAUUGGAGGGGCCAUCUUAUUGCUGAAACGAACCCUAAGAAAUAUUGUGAAGAAACACCGGGAAGGCCAUAGAAGUCACGAUAUAAGCUUCUCACAGGAGAGGUUCCUAUAAGGUGUCAGGAUGUCACUGUCUAUUUCUCCAUG